rnacentral:rRNA from 1 species
UACGGAGGGUGCAAGCGUUAAUCGGAAUUACUGGGCGUAAAGCGCGCGUAGGCGGCUUUGUAAGUCGGAUGUGAAAGCCCUGGGCUUAACCUGGGAAUUGCAUUCGAUACUGCAUGGCUAGAGUAUGGUAGAGGAUAGUGGAAUUCCUGGUGUAGCGGUGAAAUGCGUAGAUAUCAGGAGGAACAUCAGUGGCGAAGGCGGCUAUCUGGACCAAUACUGACGCUGAGGUGCGAAAGCGUGGGGAGCAAAC